AUGUUCUGUAUACAAGAAAAUGAAGAGAGUGUACUCAUGACUAAGCACAGGAACCUGGAAAACCACAGGAUUCCUGGGAAGCCAUGGAGGAUGGAACAAACUCAGAGCUGGAGCCUGAAGAGUUCUUGGAACUUGUGUAUGGGAAGUUACCCUGAGCUGUUCUGCAGGGAAGAGGAGUUCUAACCAUCUUUGCCUGGCCAUUACAUUAUUGCUCACCACCUAUUACUUCUGAGUGGGGACCCACUUAGGUAUAACUGGGGAGGAAAAAGCAAGCAGCACUAAGGUCUGUAUGACCAUGUAGUUUUUUAUUAUUGCUUAUUGAGCAAAACUUAGUUAUAUAAACUUAUACAGCUUAUAUGAAUAGCCAUGUUUAAGAUGCCUGAACUGCUUGUGCAGUACAGGUCUGAGUGUACUUACAGCUUUGUUAAACAUUGAGUUCAUUAGUUUGCUCUAACAUAUUUAGAACAGAAAAUGAAAAUGUUAUUGGUACAAAAAUUUUAUGGAGUCUUCCAUUACAUCAAGUGUUC
rnacentral:lncRNA from 1 species